rnacentral:rRNA from 1 species
AUUGAACGCUGGCGGAAUGCUUUACACAUGCAAGUCGAACGGCAGCACGGACUUCGGUCUGGUGGCGAGUGGCGAACGGGUGAGUAAUGUAUCGGAACGUGCCCAGUCGUGGGGGAUAACGUAGUGAAAAUUACGCUAAUACCGCAUACGAUCUAUGGAUGAAAGCGGGGGAUCGCAAGACCUUGCGCGAUUGGAGCGGCCGAUAUCAGAUUAGGUAGUUGGUGGGGGAAAGGCCCACCAAGCCAACGAUCUGUAGCUGGUCUGAGAGGACGACCAGCCACACUGGAACUGAGACACGGUCCAGACUCCUACGGGAGGCAGCAGUGGGGAAUUUUGGACAAUGGGCGAAAGCCUGAUCCAGCCAUUCCGCGUGCAGGAUGAAGGCCCUCGGGUUGUAAACUGCUUUUGUACAGAACGAAAAGGUUUCUACUAAUACUAGGAGCUCAUGACGGUACUGUAAGAAUAAGCACCGGCUAACUACGUGCCAGCAGCCGCGGUAA